rnacentral:rRNA from 1 species
AGCGAACGUUAGCGGCGCGCCUAACACAUGCAAGUCGCACGAGAGGGGGCAACCCUGAAAGUGGCGCACGGGUGCGUAACACGUAGAUAAUCUGCCCUUCGAAGGGGGAUAACGUUCCGAAAGGAGCGCUAAUACCGCAUAACGCCGCGCCCCGUUUGCUGGAUGCUGACAAAGGCUGGGACCGUAAGGCCAGUCGUCGGAGGGGGAGUCUGCGGCCCAUCCGCUAGUUGGCGAGGUAAUGGCUCACCAAGGCAAAGACGGGUAGCUGGUCUGAGAGGAUGAUCAGCCACACUGGUACUGGAACACGGACCAGACUCCUACGGGAGGCAGCAGUGGGGAAUCUUGGUCAAUGGGCGCAAGCCUGAACCAGCGACGCCGCGUGAGUGAUGAAGGCCUUCGGGUUGUAAAGCUCUGUGGGGAGGGACGAAAGACUGAGGUCUAAUAGGCUUCAGGUUGACGGUACCUCCUUAGCAAGCACCGGCUAACUCUGUGCCAGCCGCCGCCGUAAUAC